GUUUCAAUUAUAUUUUGUGUUUGUUACACGUUCAUAUUCAUAGGUGGUAUUAAAGGACAAAACAGCAAGCUUUUUGGUGUGUCCAACCGUUUGCUGCAAGUCACAAAAUUCGUGGAUCCAUGCAGCGAUGUCUGCCAGGAUUUGGCUGCUGAUGAUAAGGAGCCAGUGUGUAUGAUCUUCAGCCGGUAUAAGAAAGGCUAUCAAUUCUUUGUUAAUCUGUGCCAUGCCAGGCGAACUAUUUGCAAGGAAAAUACGGUAAUGCAUAUAGUACACUCAAGCAGAUGUCUGAAGAGUAGACUGUUUUUUAUGCCAAUAAAUUAACGUAAGCAAAAAAUACAAGUCAACAAAAAUUAAAUAGAACGUUCAUUAAGAGCAUAAUUUAAAAGUAAGACGAGAGAUUCACGGGAUCAUUAAAACUAACAUCAACAAGCCGUAGGUGCCGUCAAUUUCCGCCACUGAAGCUGCCAUACAAAAAUAUUGAACAUAGGUUUUCCUUAUUUUUAUAUUCAUUUUAAAAAACUCAGUUCAACAUUUUAUUAAACGCUGAAAAUUUCAAGUACUUAUUGUUAACGAUUUCAUUUUGAAUUUAUACAUGGGACUCACAUACAAAACUCAGUUGUAGAAUACCUUGCCUCGACGCAUUUUAACGUGUUUCAAGGUUUAACUAACAUCUAAACGAGGGGUGGGCAAUCUUUUUUUAUGGCAGGCCAUAAAGUUAAAAAUUUCUCGAAGUGGGCCAGAA